UACCUUUUAACACAUCAUCUGGUCUAUUGUUUUGGGUAUUAAGAAUCAGCUUGAAAUCUUUUUAGCUGGCCAUGAUAGUUCCAGAACAAUUGAAGAAUCGGCCUGAAGUAAUCAACAAGCUGGAGAUUUCAUCUUUAUGUAAGAACUAGAAGGCAAGGAGGUACAUUUUGGGUGAACUCAACAGCAUUGCCAGGAAACUUCCAAUAUUGCAUAUGGAGUCAAAUCCCUUUGAGAUUGCAAGAGAUUUAGUUAUUCCAGCACUCAAACAAAAAAAAAAAAAAAAAAGAUGUCACAACUGCCUGACCAUUAUAAGGUACUUUAUGCUGAAUGCAUCUUCUCUUUUGUAACAAUGGUUGUUAUAUUUACUGACUCACCACUCAAUAAGAAUUUUGUGUACUCGAUAGGUAAGAAUUCUUUUGAAGCAUAUAUUUUUAUUACAUUUCUUUCUAUUAUAAUUUUGUAGAGUGGCUCUAAACUUGGUGAUUUUUGGAAGCAUCUCUUUCCUUUCAGAGAAAGAUUAAGUAGCUUGGCGUUUGUAAUGUUACUUUUUUCUUUUAAUGAAAUGAGAAAUUUAUUGAUAUGACUAAUUUACAUAAGAGGAGAGAUAAAUUAAACUUUACCUCCCUAAGAUACAUAUGUAAAUCAAAAGAGUGCAUUUUAAGUGGUACAAGGUUAAUCCUAGGUUAAUCCUUGGAUCCCCAUAAGCUUUAAAACUGAUUUUGGAGUGGCUUCUGCAAUAGAAGAUGUUGCAGUUAAUUAUCUUCAUGAAAAAUCCUCCUCCUAUUGCUUAUUGAAAUUUAUAUUAUUGUGUGCACUUACCGUCCGCUCCACCAAGUUGAUUCUUGCUUCUACAAACAUGCGAUGAAGGUCCGGUGUCCAUUUCAAAUUUUGAUUAGAGGAAGUGCCAACUGAAUAUGUAAUUAUUGACUUCUUAAAAGUUACGUCUAUGCUUUGUGAUGAGAUGAGUUUCAGAUAGCUGGUUGCUACAGUUCUACUGUACAAGGAAAAGUACAUAUGGAGUGUGGUUUAGAUUCUAAACAGCCAAUUGACACUUAAUAUUUCCUCCUUUCACUCAGUAAUCAAGUAGUCUCAGUUGUUGAACUGAGCAACCAUUUUGCUGAUAUUAGGUUCAUCUGGCUACCAGCUACAAGAGAUGUACAGGCAAAUUGAAAGAUUGAACCUGACAUGAAUAUUGACGAUUAAUCAGAAUCUUCUGCACUGACAGAGAUUAGAUUCGGAUGUUACGGCGAGUAAGUAUAAUAUCCUAAUAUUGGAUAUAGUUUUAUUUUUUAUGCAUAUUGGUUGUUUCUUUUUUCGUUUGAUAUCUAGGUUCUUCAUCGUCCUUUAGAAAAUGGCAUCACAGGUGACAGGUGUUCUUGAUUAGAGAAAGAUCAGGGGGUGCUAAUGAUGCACAUAAAAUAUCUGAUAAAAUGUCCUGCAAGAAAAUAGUGCCUACUGCAUCAGGAGAUAGCUCUACAAUAGUUGUUGAUACCUUGAAAUAAUACAUAGAGAUGAUAUAGAUAUGCGUAUAUGUUCUCUUACUUUCUUAUACUACUUGGACCUUAGGGAGCUGCUC